AGCCAACCGCAGAAGUGAACGGACCAAGAGCCUGGUGUGGCCAGCCGUGGCAUCUUUGGAACCAUUAUCAUCCUGUGCCUUCAUUUGAAAUACAGAUAAGAACACACGUAAACCUACCCGGGUAGUGAAAAGAACGUACAUACUCCAAGACACACACACACCAAGAACUUUCUUGGACUCUUUCUUUAUUUGAAGUUAUUUAUUUUGGGUUUAUAGUGCGCUGUGCACUCAGGAAGCCGGCUUAGGUAGGCAGGGAAUGUAAAUAACUGCCAUUCAUUUUGUAUAAUACAUUUCUCAAAUCUACCUGUUUUGUGUUGUCUGUUCUCUGCUGACCUUUUACUAUUUCAGGCUCCGUAGUCGUACCUAGAGGUUCUGAUAUUAGCCCAGAUUUAAUUCCUUACUACUUAAAUUAGUUAUCAGUUACACUAACCUGAGACACGGGUUACAUCUCCAGUGCUCAGCUCUCAC